GUCGUGAGACAGUUCGGUCCCUAUCUGCCGUGGGCGCUGGAGAACUGAGGGGGGCUGCUCCUAGUACGAGAGGACCGGAGUGGACGCAUCACUGGUGUUCGGGUUGUCAUGCCAAUGGCACUGCCCGGUAGCUAAAUGCGGAAGAGAUAAGUGCUGAAAGCAUCUAAGCACGAAACUUGCCCCGAGAUGAGUUCUCCCUGACCCUUUAAGGGUCCUGAAGGAACGUUGAAGACGACGACGUUGAUAGGCCGGGUGUGUAAGCGCAGCGAUGCGUUGAGCUAACCGGUACUAAUGAACCGUGAGGCUUAACCUUACAACGCCGAAGGUGUUU
rnacentral:rRNA from 1 species